rnacentral:rRNA from 1 species
UACAGAGGGUGCGAGCGUUAUCCGGAUUCACUGGGUUUAAAGGGUGCGUAGGUGGGUAAGUAAGUCAGUGGUGAAAUCUCCGGGCUUAACCCGGAAACUGCCAUUGAUACUAUUUGUCUUGAAUACUGUGGAGGUCAGCGGAAUAUGUCAUGUAGCGGUGAAAUGCUUAGAUAUGACAUAGAACACCAAUUGCGAAGGCAGCUGGCUACACAAAUAUUGACACUGAGGCACGAAAGCGUGGGGAUCAAACAGG